AGCAGCCGCGGUAAUUCCAGCUCCAAUAGCGUAUAUUAAAGUUGUUGCAGUUAAAAAGCUCGUAGUUGAAUUUCGGGAUUGACACGUCGGUCGUGCCCUAAGGGGUAUGAACUGGUGUAGUCAAUUUCUCACCUUCUGGAGAACCGCGCUGUCCUUAAUUGGGUGACGCGGGGAACCAGGACCUUUACUUUGAAAAAAUUAGAGUGUUUAAAGCAGGCAUUUUGCUUGAAUACAUUAGCAUGGAAUAAUAAAAUAGGACGGCAUGAUUCUAUUUUGUUGGUUUCUAGGAUCACCGUAAUGAUUAAUAGGGAUAGUUGGGGGCAUUAGUAUUCAAUUGUCAGAGGUGAAAUUCUUGGAUUUAUUGAAGACUAACUACUGCGAAAGCAUUUGCCAAGGAUGUUUUCAUUAAUCAGGAACGAAAGUUAGGGGAUCGAAGACGAUCAGAUACCGUCGUAGUCUUAACCAUAAACUAUGCCGACUAGGAAUCAGACGAUGUUAAUUUUUUAAUGACUCGUUUGGCACCUUACGG
rnacentral:rRNA from 1 species